AGCGAACGCUGGCGGCAGGCCUAACACAUGCAAGUCGAACGAACUCUUCGGAGUUAGUGGCGGACGGGUGAGUAACACGUGGGAACGUGCCUUUUGGUUCGGAAUAACUCAGGGAAACUUGUGCUAAUACCGAAUGUGCCCUUCGGGGGAAAGAUUUAUCGUCAUUAGAGCGGCCCGCGUCUGAUUAGCUAGUUGGUGAGGUAACGGCUCACCAAGGCGACGAUCAGUAGCUGGUCUGAGAGGAUGACCAGCCACACUGGGACUGAGACACGGCCCAGACUCCUACGGGAGGCAGCAGUGGGGAAUCUUGCGCAAUGGGCGAAAGCCUGACGCAGCCAUGCCGCGUGAAUGAUGAAGGUCUUAGGAUUGUAAAAUUCUUUCACCGGGGACGAUAAUGACGGUACCCGGAGAAGAAGCCCCGGCUAACUUCGUG
rnacentral:rRNA from 1 species